rnacentral:rRNA from 1 species
AGAAUUAUGAUAAUGACAUUGUCUGCCUAUAUGUCUUGACCAAAUUACGUGCCAGCAGUCGCGGUAAUACGUAGAAGACUAGUGUUAUUCAUCUUUAAUAGGUUUAAAGGGUACCUAGACGGUAAAUCAAGCCUUCACAGGGACUAAUUUACUAGAGUUACUUACGAGGGGGUAUUAAAGUACUGCAGGUGUAGAGAUGAAAUUCUGUCAUACCUCUUUUCAAAAGAAAAAUUAUGGCACAGGUAUAGGUGAAAGCAUCCCCUUAUGUGAUAACUGACGUUGAAGGACGAAGGCUUUGUGUCGCGAACAGGAUUAGAUACCCCAGUAGUCAAAGCAGAAAAUGAUGAAUGUUAUAGAUUAGAUAUAUAGUUUAUUCUAUAAAUGAAAAUGUAAGCAUUCCACCUCAAGAGUAAUUUGGCAACAUUGGAACUGAAAUCAUUAGACCGUUUCUGAAACCAGUAGUGAAGUAUGUUGUUUAAUUUGAUGAUCCGCAAAAAACCUUACCACAAUUUGAAUAUUUGUAUGUAUCUUUUUUUUCGUAAAAAAAUAAAAAGGUAAUACAUUUACAAGCGUUGC